rnacentral:rRNA from 1 species
UACGAAGGGGGCUAGCGUUGUUCGGAAUUACUGGGCGUAAAGCGCAUGUAGGCGGAUCGCUAAGUCGGGGGUGAAAUCCCGAGGCUCAACCUCGGAACUGCCUUUGAUACUGGCGAUCUUGAGUCCGGGAGGGGUGAGUGGAACUCCGAGUGUAGAGGUGAAAUUCGUAGAUAUUCGGAAGAACACCAGUGGCGAAGGCGGCUCACUGGCCCGGUACUGGCGCUGAGAUGCGAAAGCGUGGGGAGCAAACAGG